GGGGAAUAUUGCACAAUGGGCGCAAGCCUGAUGCAGCGACGCCGCGUGAGGGAUGGAGGCCUUCGGGUUGUAAACCUCUUUUGUUAGGGAGCAAGGCACUUUGUGUUGAGUGUACCUUUCGAAUAAGCACCGGCUAACUACGUGCCAGCAGCCGCGGUAAUACGUAGGGUGCAAGCGUUAUCCGGAAUUAUUGGGCGUAAAGGGCUCGUAGGCGGUUCGUCGCGUCCGGUGUGAAAGUCCAUCGCUUAACGGUGGAUCCGCGCCGGGUACGGGCGGGCUUGAGUGCGGUAGGGGAGACUGGAAUUCCCGGUGUAACGGUGGAAUGUGUAGAUAUCGGGAAGAACACCAAUGGCGAAGGCAGGUCUCUGGGCCGUUACUGACGCUGAGGAGCGAAAGCGUGGGGAGCGAAC
rnacentral:rRNA from 1 species